AUUGAACGCUGGCGGCAUGUCUUACACAUGCAAGUCGAACGGUAACAGGUCUUCGGAUGCUGACGAGUGGCGAACGGGUGAGUAAUACAUCGGAACGUGCCUAGUAGUGGGGGAUAACUACGCGAAAGAGUGGCUAAUACCGCAUGAGAUCUACGGAUGAAAGCAGGGGAUCGCAAGACCUUGUGCUACUAGAGCGGCCGAUGGCAGAUUAGGUAGUUGGUGGGAUAAAAGCUUACCAAGCCGACGAUCUGUAGCUGGUCUGAGAGGACGAUCAGCCACACUGGGACUGAGACACGGCCCAGACUCCUACGGGAGGCAGCAGUGGGGAAUUUUGGACAAUGGGCGAAAGCCUGAUCCAGCAAUGCCGCGUGCAGGAUGAAGGCCUUCGGGUUGUAAACUGCUUUUGUACGGAACGAAAAGCCCCGGGUUAAUACCCUGGGGUCAUGACGGUACCGUAAGAAUAAGCACCGGCUAACUACGUGCCAGCCGCCGCGGUAA
rnacentral:rRNA from 1 species